rnacentral:rRNA from 1 species
GAAAUGCGAUAAGUAAUGUGAAUUGCAGAAUUCAGUGAAUCAUCGAAUCUUUGAACGCACCUUGCGCUCCUUGGCAUUCCGAGGAGCAUGCCUGUUUGAGUGUCAUUAACAUCUCAAUACCUGUCUGCUUUUGAUGGGUAUUGGAAAUUGGGGGUUGCAGGGCUUGUAUAGCUUUGCUCUCCUUGAAUGUAUUAGUGGAGAAAAAGAAAGCUCAUUGAACUCCAUUGGUGUGAUAAAAUCUAUCAAUGCCAGGAACAAUGUCCAAGUUUCUCUGCUGUCUAAUCCAUGUCCAGUUUGGACCUCAUUUGACCAACUUGACCUCAAAUCAGGUAGGACUACCCGCUGAACUUAA